UGGCGAGAUGAGUAGGCAGGAAAUAGGAGCUUAUCAGAAUAAACCUAUGUGACACCGCGUUUGGCGCUUAUGUAUAUAUUCUCACUUUUUGGGAUCUGCUUAGGAUUACUCUCUGUUUUUCUUAUGUACAGCGUUUCAGAUUUACAUAUACGGUGAUAUUUUAAAAUCGCAAUACGAGGCGACUUGUUAAAUGGAAAUCUAAGUAUGUUGAAAUCCUAGCUUCCCACAGACUGGAGUGAUUGACCUGGCUGGAAAAGAUCAUCCGACACUCUCUGGUCAAGGGAAAUCGAACACCAAUUUAGGGUUUUCUACCAUUCCUACAAUCUGGGUAAUCGAAAAAGUGCUUACGUCAUGUUAAAGACAAACAAGGUCUGCCAAGAUCAAGGCGCUUGGCAAUCAGCUUUGUGCAUGCCCCAUUAUCUUCCAAAUUAGCUGUGACCCCCUGGGGCCCGAAGAACAUCGCGUGUGCCUUAAAAAUAUUUUGGACAGAUGUGCAUGUACAUUAUUUAUAAAUGCCAAUGAAUUAAAUUUGUAGAAUUUUUCAUGUAAAACCAAAGUUUCCCUCACCUA